rnacentral:rRNA from 1 species
CUACGGGGGGCUGCAGUCGAGAAUCUUCCGCAAUGCACGAAAGUGUGACGGAGCGACGCCGCGUGGUGGAUGAAGUACCGAGGUACGUAAACACCUUUUAUACGUGAGGAAAUUUAUUGACGCUAGCGUAUGAAUAAGGGGCUCCUAAUCUGGUGCCAGCAGGAGCGGUAAUACCAGAGCCCCAAGCGUUAUCCGGAAUAACUGGGCGUAAAGGGUGUGUAGGCGGCUAUGCUAGUCUGAUGUAAAAGACCGGUGCUCAACAUCGGUACCGCAUCAGAAACGGCAUGGCUUGAGUGUGCAAGAGGUAAGUGGAACUCUCGGUGUAGGGGUGAAAUCCGUUGAUAUCGAGGGGAACACCAAAAGCGAAGGCAGCUUACUGGUGCAUAACUGACGCUGAGACACGAAACCCAGGGUAGCGAAGGGGAUUAGAUACCCCCGUAGUC